GACGAACGCUGGCGGCGUGCUUAACACAUGCCAGUCGAACGGAAAGGCCCUGCUUUUGUGGGGUUCUCGAGUGGCGAACGGGUGAGUAACACGUGAGUAACCUGCCCUUGACUUUGGGAUAACUUCAGGAAACUGGGGCUAAUACCGGAUAGGAGCUCCUGCUGCAUGGUGGGGGUUGGAAAUUUUCGGCGGUUGGGGAUGGACUCGCGGCUUAUCAGCUUGUUGGUGGGGUAGUGGCUUACCCAGGCUUUGACGGGUAGCCGGCAUGGGAGGGUGACCGGCCACAUGGGGACUGAGAUACGGCCCAGACUCCUACGGGAGGCAGCAGUGGGGAAUAUUGCACAAUGGGCGGAAGCCUGAUGCAGCAACGCCGCGUGCGGGAUGACGGCCUUCGGGUUGUAAACCGCUUUCGCCUGUGACGAAGCGUGAGUGACGGUAAUGGGUAAAGAAGCACCGGCUAACUACGUG
rnacentral:rRNA from 1 species